rnacentral:rRNA from 1 species
UACGGAGGGUGCAAGCGUUAUCCGGAUUCACUGGGUUUAAAGGGUGCGUAGGCGGCCAGGUAAGUCCGUGGUGAAAUCCUGCAGCUUAACUGCAGAACUGCCAUGGAUACUAUCUAUCUUGAAUGUCGUGGAGGUUAGCGGAAUAUGUCAUGUAGCGGUGAAAUGCUUAGAGAUGACAUAGAACACCCAUUGCGAAGGCAGCUAACUACGCGAUAAUUGACGCUGAUGCACGAAAGCGUGGGGAGCAAACAGG